CCCUAGCCCUGAUGGUAGCGGCAUCCUUUUUAUUUUUAUACGUAGCUUAGCGAAGUAUAUACAUAAUAAGAUAUAGCGGACAGCAGGAAAUAGC
rnacentral:sRNA from 1 species